UGGGAGAGACUGGGAUGGACUGGGAUGGACUGGGAUAAACUGGGAUUGGAUUGGGAUUGAACUGGGAUAGACUGGGAAGGGAACUGGGAUUGAACUGGGAGCCAAGAGCGGGGCCCGGUUCCAGUUCCGGGAGAGCUGCGAGAAGGAGACAAAGGUGGGAACUGGGAUGGACUGGGAUGGACUGGGAUGGACUGGGAUGGGAACUGGGAUGGACUGGGAUGGACUGGGAUAAACUGGGAUAAACUGGGAUUGAACUGGGAUGGACUGGGAUGAACUGGGAUUGAACUGGGCGUGGUCUCCGCUGGCUCGGCCUUCCUGUCCCCAGUGUCCGCCUGUGUCCCGGUGUCACCUGUGCCCAUGUCACACCUGUCCAGGUGUUCACGGUGUCCCCUCACCUGUCCAGGUGUUCAUUCUGUGUCUCACCUGUCCAGGUGUUCAUUCUCUGUCUCAGCUGUCCAGGUGUUCACAGUCCCUCACCUGUCCGGGUGUUCACAGUCCCUCACCUGUCCAGGUGUUCAUUCUCUGUCUCACCUGUCCAGGUGUUCACCUUCCAGCUGUUCCAGGUGUUCACGGUCUCUCUCACCUGUCCAGGUGUUCACCUUCGAGCUCUCCAUCUCCAAGGUGGUCCCCGGUGACCGGGGCGAUUAUCGCUGUGAGGUCACGGCCAAGGACAAGAAGGACAGCUGCUCCUUCAACAUUGAUGUCGAGGGUACGCCCCAAAAACCCCCAAAUCACCCCAAAAUCCACCUGGGGACCCCAAAAUCCACCUGGGAACCCCAAAAUCCACCUGGGGACCCCAAAAUCCACCCCAAAACUCAGCUGGGAACCCCAAAACUCACCUGGGGACAGGGGUGAGGUCACGGCCAAGGACAAGAAGGACAGCUGCUCCUUCAAUUUCCAUGUCGAGGGUGCACCCCAAAAACCUCCAAAAUCACCCCAAAAUACACCUGGAAACCCCAAAACUCACCUGGGAACCCCAAAAUCCACCUGGGAACGCCAAAAUCCACCCCAAAACUCAGCUGGGGACCCCAAAACUCACCUGGGGACAGGGGUGAGGUCACGGCCAAGGACAGCUGCUCCUUCAACAUCGACGUCGAGGGUGCGCCCCAAAAACCCCCAAAUCACCCCAAAAUCACCCCAAAAUCACCCCAAAACUCACCUGGGAACCCCAAAAUCCACCUGGGGACCCCAAAAUCCACCCCAAAACUCACCUGGGGACCCCAAAACUCACCUGGGGACAGGGGUGAGGUCACGGCCAAGGACAAGAAGGACAGCUGAUCCUUCAAUUUCAACGUCGAGGGUGCACCCCAAAAACCCCCAAAAUCACCCCAAAAUCACCCCAAAAUCACCCCAAAAUCACCCCAAAACUCACCUGGGAACCCCAAAAUCAACCUGGGGACCCCAAAAUCCACCCAAAAACUCACCUGGGGACCCCAAAACUCACCUGGGGACAGGGGUGAGGUCACGGCCAAGGACAAGAAGGACAGCUGCUCCUUCAACAUUGAUGUCGAGGGUACGCCCCAAAAACCCCCAAAUCACCCCAAAAUCCACCUGGGGACCCCAAAAUCCACCUUGGGGACCCCAAAAUCCACCUGGGGACCCCAAGAUCUACCCCAAAACUCACCUGGGAACCCCAAAACUCACCUGGGGACAGGGGUGAGGUCACAGCCAAGGACAGCUGCUCCUUCAACAUUGAUGUCGAGGGUACGCCCCAAAAACCCCCAAAAUCACCCCAAAAUCCACGUGGGGACCCCAAAAUCCACCUGGGGACCCCAAAAUCCACCCCAAAACUCGCCUGGGGACCCCAAAACUCACCUGGGGACCCCAAAGUCCCCCUGGACACCCCCAAAAUCCCCCCUGGAUGCCCAAAAUCCACCGGGGAGCCCCAAAAACUCCUCCAGGACCCCCCCCCGAAUUUGGGGUUCAGGGUUGGGGGUCCCGGGGGUCUCACACCCCUCCCCCCACCACAGCCGGACGCCCCUCGGGCUCGGACAACGUCCUGCAGGCCUUCAAGAGAUCGUGAGUGUGGAGACCCCUCCCCAAAAUCCCACCAGGGACCCCCAAAAUCCCACCUGGGACCCCCAAAAUCCUGCCUGGGACCCCAAAAACCUCCUCAAAAUCCCACUGGGGACCCCAAAAUCCCACCUGGGACCCCCAAAAUCCUGCCUGGGACCCCAAAAACCUCCUCAAAAUCCCACCUGGGACCCCAAAA
rnacentral:lncRNA from 1 species